UUUAUGGAGAGUUUGAUCCUGGCUCAGGAUGAACGCUGGCGGCGUGCCUAAUACAUGCAAGUCGAGCGAACGGACGAGAAGCUUGCUUCUCUGAUGUUAGCGGCGGACGGGUGAGUAACACGUGGAUAACCUACCUAUAAGACUGGGAUAACUUCGGGAAACCGGAGCUAAUACCGGAUAAUAUUUUGAACCGCAUGGUUCAAAAGUGAAAGACGGUCUUGCUGUCACUUAUAGAUGGAUCCGCGCUGCAUUAGCU
rnacentral:rRNA from 1 species